GCGCCCUCAGCGGUUCCUGUCGCGCCCCUCGGCCUCGCCGCCACGGCAGCGGCUUCCCGGGCAACACGCACCAAGUGGGUGCUCCACCCAACAGGUCCUUAAAAACUUACAGGCAUGGUGACUCCACCACCUCCCAGGGAAACCUAUUCCAGUGCCUGACCACCCUGACAUGACAAUUUCUUGUUCUGAUAUCCUAUCGGAAUCUCCGCUGUCUCACCUUCAGGCCAUUUCCUCUUGUCCUCUCACUGCAGGAGCGGCAGGAGAGACCGACCCCCGCCACACUACUACAUUCUCCUUUCAGGAGUUGUGGAGACUUGGAUCCGACAAAACUUCCCAUGAUACAUGGAAUUAAAUGGCAAAAUGUGAAGCAAUGGCUGAGGCCACUUCUGAGAUUAAUUUCCUGACUUAAUUAAUUGACUGACAUGCAAGUACACUUGUGACAUUCUGGGCCCAUCCGUGAGGUUUUUAAUGGAACUAAAAGUCAGUAAUUUCAAUAGUUACGAUUUUAUGGUACAUGUCUGAUGGUUUUUUGUUUUGUUUUGUUUUGGUGAGGGAUAUGAAGCUGAAUUGAGUCUCAAGGCCUCACUGAUACACAGUGUUAGUACCGCAGUUAUGGUACAGUAUAAUGGUACGGUAAUUCUUUUUGCUGGUAUUGACUCUUCCCCAAGGAGAGCUGCAUCCUUUUGACAGACUGCAGUGACUGAUUGAACACAACCAGCAGACUCUAAGCUGUGUAGAACUGCAUGAGAGAUAGCCUAAGAAAUUGUCUCAGUUUCAAAUUAGAAAUGGCGCUGAUGAGCGAUAUACUGCAAUAUGCCAGUGGCUCUUGAAAAGCAUGCUGUCUUUUACAAAGGACUGAGUUUUGUAAAUUAUGGUGAGAGCACUGUAUAAAUAUAAUUUUUUUUCUUUGUGUGACUAAGAAUUGGAGACCAUAUAAAAUGUUUGUAUCUGUAUAAAAUCAGCCAGUUCUCCAGAAGCAGGUCAGUUGCCUGAGGCUGUCUCAAAGACGAGAAAGUUUCCUGACAACAGAACUCAUACUAACCAUUUCUACUGGUCAAUUACUUUGACUGCAGUCACAGGUGGACUCAAACGCAGGCAUAGCUUUUUUAGGGGUGCUGAACGACUGUUACAGAAAGAGAUCUGAGUAAAAUACAGUCCCUAUAAAGAAGGCUGCAUCUAUGCAAUGCAUAAUGCAUACUUAAUGUUUUUAUGAAAAUUUUCCAGUGAAAAACCAGAAUGUUGAAACUGCAGGUAUUACUGAUGUACCCCAUAUGGGCUAUAACAGUAUAAUUUCAGGAAUUACACAGAGUUGAAAGCCAUACUGUAGUCUGUUGAACUUUAGGAUACUAAAAAUUAACAAUUUAUGAAAACACCUGACACUUAAUACUGGCUAUGCAAAACAGUUUGUGAAUGUAACCUUAAUACUGCAUACAUACAAACACUGUAUGUAAUUAUAAUGAAAUUUACCCCAAAAGUUUGCUGAUUGAAAAAGCAGCUCAGUGUUUCUUAGUCGUAAUUUUUUUAGCAAGCCUCUAGUGUGUUAUGUGUCAUUGAAUUUUAAUUUACACUUUAAUAUACAACCUACCCCAUGAGACAUUUCUUCAACUAAACUACGUGGCUUGAGGUCAAAACCCCAGCUUGUUCUUGUAGCUCCUUAAGUGCUCUAGGUUCUUCCUAUCACCAGCUCCACAGAACAUACACACCCUUCUUUCCUGGGGCAAGUUCCUUGUUCAUUCAUCAGAUAAAGAAGCAGGAAAAAAAUGCCUCCAGAACACAAGUAAUUAACUUAUGGAGUAAUUUUGCAAUGACAGAGUAACACUUUGCAUAUUAUAGCCUAAAAACAACAGAAGAUUGAGCACCUGUGCUUCUAAUUAUUCAGUAAUAAAGCAGUAGAAUUGAAGCUUAGCUUGGGGCUGUCAGUCCUGCCUCGGUGGAGCUGUGGGAGUGCCAGUCUGCAUCUCAGCCUCCUGGCCUGCCUGGCUGACAUCGCUCACCAUUGACCUGCUUGCUCAUCACUACUGUCUGUGGACUGAGGUCAUAGCCAAACCCAUUCCCAGCUGGUUUGUACAUGUUAGUCACAAGUUCCCACUCUAAGAGGCACGUCUUCCCUCUGGAUCCAGUUGCUUUCUUUCAGCAGGUCAGAGUCUAGGUGUGCUGUUGCAGGGAAAUAGAUCACUAACACUUGCAAGUGUUACAAUGAAAACUGAACUCUGACCAGAAAAAUAACCGUUCGCAUAGAUGCUACUGCCUUGAUUACCCAGGGGAAAAAAAAAAAAAAAAAAAAAAAAAAAAAAAAAAAGUCAAGUUAAUGUAUUUUGUGAUAAGGCAGCUGAAUGGGUGCUUUCUAUGUGUUCAGAAUGUAGAUUACUUUGACACUUAGACAGGGGAAAGUGGUGAAAUACCUCACCUUCUGUAUGGAAAUCAUAAACCUGUUGCUGUUUCAGGAGGGAAAUGAGAAAAUCUUGGCAGAUCCAAGAGCUUCAAAAGAGCUUCAAAAAGCUCUUGACUACCCAGUUUUCCAUACAGUCAACUUAAAAAGUUCUUCUAAAAAUGGCAAUUAAUUAAAAAUGUAAAAAAAAAAUCCCUGUCAAUAAAGAAUGGCUUUUCCCUUCUGCCUUAGCCUUCUUAACUUCCUUACGUUGCAACAGUCUGCAGUGACUUCUACUCAGUAUGUGCUUCAAUAAUCCCUGUAUUUCAAGUGUCUGUCACUUAUUUCAGGUUCAAUUAAACCAUUAAAAAAUAUUUAAAUCACACUUUGAAAAGUAGUUUACAGCAGAAAUACAAUUAAAGAGCUACUUUCAUUUA